rfam:Schistosoma mattheei strain Denwood, Zambia genome assembly, scaffold: SMTD_scaffold0015451
AACGUUGAGCGACGGAUCACUGUGCUCGUGUGUCGAUGAAGAGUGCAGUCAAAUGUGUGAAUUAAUUUGAAAUGCAUAUGGCUUUGAACAUCGACAUCUUGAAUCCAUAUUGCGGCUAGGGGAUAUCCUGUGGCCAAUUCUGUCUGAGGGUCG